ACAUGUUAGCAUCUUGGAAGUG
rnacentral:miRNA from 1 species